UUAUAUGUUUGUAUGUUUGUUUCAGAACUAGGCUAGGCUUAAAUGCAAUUGGCCCAGAAGCUCAGAUUAGGGCUAUUAGUUUGUCAUUUUCAAUCUCUUUUUCACUUUCUCUCAUUCGCAUCUAGGGUUACAGCCGCCACCACCAUCCUUAAUUCCUCUUCGUCAUUCCAUUCAAUGUCGCUCGAAGCUUCAAGCUACCACCAUCGUUCUCAUCGUCAUCCAUGAUCCUCUUCUAGGGUGGUUUGUGAAGUUGCUAAGGAGUUAUGAUCAGCUGAGAUUACUUCACAAUUUUAAGAGGCGUUCAACUGAUUGGAAGUUACGAGAGGUGGUUCUACCACUAAUAAUGUUUAUUUUCAGGUGUUCAACGGAUUCGAAGCUACGAGAUCUGGUUCUACCACUGAUGAAACAGAAUCCUACCACAUGUUAAUUUUUGUUGAUUUUUAAUUUUAAGGUUUAUUUUUGUUGAUUCUUAAUUUUAAGGGUUGUUAGAUAGGGUUUAGUUAACUAUAAAAGUGAUAUAGGGUUUGAGGUUUUUGGAUUUGUGUUGUUAGUG